UACGGAGGGUGCAAGCGUUAUCCGGAUUCACUGGGUUUAAAGGGUGCGUAGGCGGGCAGGUAAGUCAGUGGUGAAAUCCUUGAGCUUAACUCGAGAACUGCCAUUGAUACUAUCUGUCUUGAAUAUUGUGGAGGUAAGCGGAAUAUGUCAUGUAGCGGUGAAAUGCUUAGAUAUGACAUAGAACACCUAUUGCGAAGGCAGCUUACUACGCAUAUAUUGACGCUGAGGCACGAAAGCGUGGGGAU
rnacentral:rRNA from 1 species